rnacentral:rRNA from 1 species
UACGAAGGGGGCUAGCGUUGUUCGGAAUUACUGGGCGUAAAGCGCGCGCAGGCGGCCAUUCAAGUCAGGGGUGAAAGCCCAGAGCUCAACUCUGGAACUGCCCUUGAAACUGUAUGGCUUGAGUAUGAGAGAGGUGAGUGGAAUUCCCAGUGUAGAGGUGAAAUUUGUAGAUAUUGGGAAGAACACCGGUGGCGAAGGCGGCUCACUGGCUCAUUACUGACGCUCAGGCGCGACAGCGUGGGGAUCAAACAGG